UAGGCUGCUAUACUUGUUCGUUUUACCACUCUCUUUGUUUGGAAGGCACUAGUUUUUUGUUCAAUAUUAAUCUUUCAUGAAAUAAAAUGACAAUUUAACAAAAGUCUGUUUGAGACUUGCUCACGUACUCACAUUAUGUUCUUGACUUUCAGUAAUAGUCACAAUCCUUCGCAUCAUACUUCAUUUUUUGUUCAAACUUUUUUUUUUGACCAUGGUUUUUGGUUUAAACUUGCAGUUUCGUUUCCCUAGUUAUGUGCAUUCGGUACAAGAAUCUGAUGAACCUAUCAGGAAGCUACCGGAGCGUCUGUUCAAUAACUUAAAGAGUUUGUAUGUUACAGGAUUUAAAGCAUGCAUCGGUCAAGUUGAGUUCCUUUCACACAUGGUGGAAAAUUCCCCUGCACUGGAGAUUUUAAGUAUAGAUCAUUCAGACAAAUAUCCCCUAGAAGGCCAUGAAAGAGACACGAAAACGGUUGUUGACGUAGUCCAUAGAACUGCUAGAAGGUAUCUCGAAGGGAAGAUUUCGUCCAAGUGCACCCUAAUAUUACUUUAAGGGAUUUGUUGGUAUAGGGAUGUACAUUGUAUCUCUAUCUAGGGAUUGAAAAUCCGAUGCGGUGGCAUCUUUAAACAUGUCUGCAUUGGUCACUACUAUGUGCAUUGUGAUUUGGUUUUGCACGGUCCAUUAUAAUAUUGAUGAAAUGAACAUGCUUCCCUUUGCAUAAAUGCGCUGUUUGCCCUCCACUACAGUACUCGUUGCGUACAACUCUAUUAACCUCGGAGUUCCACGUUUUCACCCCAUUUUAGAUGAUGUAUAUGCUUCCUCCCUGCACGACAUGUAUGGACACAUGGGGCCUUCUCUUUUUUAGCAGGCACGCAGCCCUAGUUGUUUUAGUUUUUUUUUCACCUCGCCGUCUCCCCCAUGCUAUCAGGUGUGGCGUUGGGUGUUAUCCGAUCAUCCAAAGCAUUCCCGCCUAACCAGUAACUGCUUGCUUCUGUAUAAUUCUUCUAUUUUUAUUCCUCUUGGUUUACCGGCUGUUGUUCCUCUGGUUACCGGUUGUGCUCUCAUCGGGCGCCAGCAGCUGCCUCCGCUGGUCGAGCUCGCUGCUGACCUACUCAGGCAAGCACGCAGCUGCAGAGCUGAGCUGCUGCUCCUGGACUUAAGUUAACUUUUUCAGGAAGGGGCUAUGGUAUCCUGAGGACCAGAGACUGUGGGACUACAUCUUCAAGCAUGGCCUUGGCUGCUGGACUGCUGUCCCUGCAAGGGCUUAUCUGAUGAUCAACCGGAGAUGUUGCUGGUCAAUUCAUAGCGACGACCUGAUGCUCUGCUGCACUGAUCCAACCGGAGAUGAUGCUGAUGAUCUGCUGCUCAACAAGGUGUUGCUGCUUCUCCCAGGACGUGCUGAUGAUCUGCUGCUCAACAUGGUGAUAGAUCUGGUAGCGCUUGGGGCAGGUGAUGGAUGGGCGACGAGGAGGAGCAGGGGCGACGAGGAGGAGCCUGGUGGAGGGGUGGAGCAGGGGCGACAAGGAGGGGCCUAGCGGAGGGGUUGAUGGAGGAAGACGAUGAUUUCAGAUUAGGGGUAGUUCUGUACUUUCCUAGCUUUUCACCUGGUUGGAGAAUUCCCCCGGCGACAACUAUUACGGUACAGAGGGAGUAGGUUGUAAG